GAGCUUCUGUGGGCUCAUGAAUACGUAAACCCUACAGACACAAAGAAAGGGAACUGUCCCUGGUAACGGUGAGCAAGCUCAACUCGGAUUGAGAAGCCUAAAGUUACUAUCAUGGUUACCCACCUUAACAAAACCGGGUUUGCAGGUUCACUGAGUUCCCACAGAAGAUUU
rnacentral:other from 1 species